ACCCGCUGAACUUAAGCAUAUCAAUAAGCGGAGGAAAAGAAACCAACAGGGAUUGCCUUAGUAACGGCGAGUGAAGCGGCAACAGCUCAAAUUUGAAAUCUGGCCUCUUUGGGGUCCGAGUUGUAAUUUGCAGAGGGCGCUUUGGCGUUGGCAGCGGUCCAAGUUCCUUGGAACAGGACGUCACAGAGGGUGAGAAUCCCGUACGUGGUCGCUAGCCUUCGCCAUGUAAAGCCCCUUCGACGAGUCGAGUUGUUUGGGAAUGCAGCUCUAAAUGGGAGGUAAAUUUCUUCUAAAGCUAAAUACUGGCCAGAGACCGAUAGCGCACAAGUAGAGUGAUCGAAAGAUGAAAAGCACUUUGGAAAGAGAGUCAAACAGCACGUGAAAUUGUUGAAAGGGAAGCGCUUGCAGCCAGACUUGCCUGUAGUUGCUCAUCCGGGCUUUUGCCCGGUGCACUCUUCUGCGGGCAGGCCAGCAUCAGUUUGGGCGGUUGGAUAAAGGUCUCUGUCAUGUACCUCUCUUCGGGGAGGCCUUAUAGGGGAGACGACAUGCAACCAGCCCAGACUGAGGUCCGCGCAUUUGCUAGGAUGCUGGCGUAAUGGCUGU
rnacentral:rRNA from 1 species